rnacentral:rRNA from 1 species
CCAGACUCCUACGGGAGGCAGCAGUGGGGAAUAUUGCACAAUGGGGGAAACCCCGAUGCAGCGACGCCGCGUGAAGGAUGAAGUAUUUCGGUAUGUAAACUUCUAUCAGCAGGGAAGAGAAUGACGGUACCUGACUAAGAAGCCCCGGCUAACUACGUGCCAGCAGCCGCGGUAAUACGUAGGGGGCAAGCGUUAUCCGGAUUUACUGGGUGUAAAGGGAGCGUAGACGGCAUGGCAAGUCUGAUGUGAAAACCCGGGGCUCAACCCCGGGAGUGCAUUUGAAACUGUCCAGCUGGAGUGCAGGAGAGGUAAGCGGAAUUCCUAGUGUAGCGGUGAAAUGCAUAGAUAUUAGGAGGAACACCAGUGGCGAAGGCGGCUUACUGGACUGUAACUGACACUGAGGCUCGAAAGCGUGGGGAGCAAACAGGAUUAGAUACCCCUGUACG